AUUGAACGCUGGCGGCAGGCCUAACACAUGCAAGUCGAACGAGUGGCGGCCGGGUGAUUAAUGUCUGGUAAAUUGCCUGAUGGUGGGGGGUAACUACCGGAAACGGUAGCUAAUUCCUCAUACCAUCAGAUGUGCCCAGAUGGUAUUCGCGAGUUGGUGGGGUAACGGCUCACCUGGGCGACGAUCCCUAGCCGGUCUGAUUGGCUGACCGGCCACACUGGAAAUGAGACACGGUCCAGACUCCUACGGGAGGCAGCAGUGGGGAAUAUUGGGCAAUGGGCGCAAGCCUGAUGCAGCAAUGCCGCGUGUGUGAAGAAGGCCUUCGGAUUGUAAAGCACUUUCGGCGGGGAGGCGGUACCCGAAGAAGAAGCACCGGCUAACUCCGUGCCAGCAGCCGCGGUAAUAC
rnacentral:rRNA from 1 species